ACUCAAAUGAAUUGACGGGGGCCCGCACAAGCAGCGGAGCAUGUGGCUUAAUUCGACGCAACGCGAAGAACCUUACCAAGGCUUGACAUAUACCGGAAACGGCUAGAGAUAGUCGCCCCCUUGUGGUCGGUAUACAGGUGGUGCAUGGUUGUCGUCAGCUCGUGUCGUGAGAUGUUGGGUUAAGUCCCGCAACGAGCGCAACCCUUGUUCUGUGUUGCCAGCAUGCCUUUCGGGGUGAUGGGGACUCACAGGAGACUGCCGGGGUCAACUCGGAGGAAGGUGGGGACGACGUCAAAUCAUCAUGCCCCUUAUGUCUUGGGCUGCACACGUGCUACAAUGGUCGGUACAAAGGGCUGCGAUGCCGCGAGGCGGAGCGAAUCCCAAAAAGCCGGCCUCAGUUCGGAUUGGGGUCUGCAACUCGACCCCAUGAAGUUGGAGUUGCUAGUAAUCGCAGAUCAGCAUGCUGCGGUGAAUACGUUCCCGGGCCUUGCACACACCGCCCGU
rnacentral:rRNA from 1 species